GGCAGCACCGCAUACAGGAAGGCCUCACUCGGUUGCCGGCCUUCCAGGUCGUCUUCGCGCUACCACAGAGAAGACGGUGCGCGCCGGCUAGAGAGGCCCAGCGCCACCAUCAAGAGAGGCCCGAGAGAAGCCUAGAGUGGAACCCCGCCUGGUCGCCUCCGGGAGUGAAAGGGACUCAGUGGCCGGAGUUGGUAAAUGACUCAACGCGAGGCAAUAGUUGCUUCAGACGCUGACUGGAUUUUGCAACAUGGGACUCAGAGAAGUUUGAAAACUAUCAACUGCUUUGUUUUUGCCAUUUGAUAGAGGAAAAUCAAUAACAACAACCAUGUGAGUUAUACUGAAACAGGAGAGAAGCAGAGAUGACUGUGAAGGGAAUGCAUCCUCCCUGCAUCUCCCAGAAAAUACAUUCUGCUUUUACCUGUAGUGGGUGUGCAGCCAUUUUGUUGUUCUAUUUUUGUGAGACUUCCCAGUAUCCUUAUAAUAAAAUUUUCUUUUCUUUCAAA